ensembl:snRNA U6 U6 spliceosomal RNA
GUGCUCACUUCAGCAGCACAUAUACUAAAACUGGAAUGAUACAGGGAUUAGCAGAGCCCCUGUGCAAGCAAGACAUGCAAAUUUGUAAAGUGUUCCACAUUUUG